AUGAGCAAGUGGUGGUGCAUCGCCUCCCUCGUACUGUGCCUCGCCGUGGUGGCGGCGGGCAGGGGUAUGCCUGCCGGCGACGACUGCGAUAUUGUCGUUAAUGCGGCCGGUCGUAACAAUCAAGACGGUGAUGGUUUCGAUGAAGCCAAGACUGCCUUUGCUGGGAGCACUGGUGGUGACGGCGGGCUCUUCGGUGGUGCCAUCAACGGUGGCCCGCUCGGCGGGGGCAUCGCCGGCUUUGGCCCUCACGGCGGGUUUGGGGCUGGCGCCGGGCCGUUCGGUGGUUUCGGCGGCGGCUUCGGCGCUGGUAGCGGAGGUGGAGGAGGGGGAGGCGGAGGCGGCGUGAUACCUUGA
rnacentral:rRNA from 1 species